rnacentral:lncRNA from 1 species
UGGGCAUAGGUCUUUAGGUGAGAGGGAUGAGCUUCAAUCACACUGAUCACCCACCACCCUCCUCUUUCUCUCAGCAAUCAGGAUUCAGAUGUGCAGAAAAAGCUCAAUAAAUGCCUUGAGGACCACCUCUCUGAGUCUGCUUCUUCCAGUGCAGGUACUGGUAGGGGUAUUCUGGUAACCCUAAGUCCCUCUGGUUAUCUCCGCACCGUUCUUCAGUAAGUCGCUGUAAUCUCUUACUUACCCUUCCUGUUUCAACUUGAACUCUUUGGCCAAAAUGCUGGCCCCAGGCUUAACCCUGUCUCAGCUUCUGGAUGAGGUGAAGGAAGACGGGGAUCAUCGGGGAGCACUAGUGCGUCUAGCUGAGAGCUGCCUAGUGCUACAAGGUCCCUUCACAGCAAGACCCCUCACGCACUGGGCUACCUCUUGCUCCCAGGCCACGGUCAGUGCUGCGCUUUUCUUAGGAGGUGUCAGAGGGAGAGGGUUAGGCAGCUGCCCUGCUGAGCUCUCAUGUCCCAUAGGAAGAAGCUGUGUUCACCGUGCCUAGUUUCCUACUGCACAUCUCUGAGAAUGAGGAACAAAUUCUGAGUUCUAUAGACUCAAGUCAGAAGGCACAGGGUAAGAACUGGGUGGGGCAAAAAGGGGAAUGUUUGGAGCCCGGAGCCCACCACAACAUUGAUGAUUCUCUCCAGAACUCCAGGGAAAUCCAUCUUUGUCCUUCAAGCCACUUCCUCUGGUCAGGUCAUAAGUACUCAGUACUCUGGGUGGCUAAUGGACUGUUUAGAAGGCGGUGUGAUGCUCACAGGCAUUCCGCUGUCCUGAGCUGAGACGUCUGUGCUCACACUCAGUCUCCUCUUCCUCAGAAAACCCUGCUUCUCCCAGCCUCAUGCCACAGGAGGAAAGCGGUGCCAGUGUUAGCCUUCUGUCAGCCUUGCCCACAUCAGACCCCGGGCAGAAGGACAACUCCCAGCCUCCGCCAACUGUUUGCUCAACCUCCCCAAGAGCUCAGGCCCCCAGUUCUACACCCUGCAGUUCUACACCCAGCUCCCCACUCUUGACCUGCAGCCCCAGUCUCUCACCCCUUCGACAUGCCCCUACUUCAUACCAGGCCUGUGAGACCAGAACCCAGUUUCAUAAGCUAGAGUUCAGGGAGCUCCAGUGGCCCAUCAAAAGACGGCAGCUUCUCCCAAGAACCGGAGCCCAGGAGCCCCACUCUGUCUGGGAACCCCCAGAGAGGCAUCGUGAUACUUCUGCAUUCCAGUAUAAAUAUGGGACACCCUCUGCCUCCCUCCAUACCCAGGUCCAAACUGCCAGGCUCUCUCCUCAGCUUGUAGCUUGGGCCUUGAACAUAGUGAUGGAGUCUGAGUUACCACAGGUAUGAAGAGGAUGUAUACCCAUGGGCCUAAGGACAAACAGCAUUCCACGCUCUGUUUCAUUCAGGUUUUUUAAUAAAAUAAUUUCAUGCGGC